UUUCCACUUGUGUUAUUACCAGUGAGGUUGAACAUCCUUUUUCAAUUUGUUUUUCUUCUCUAAUUUCUUUGUGCGUGCUCUUUGCAAAUUCUUCCAUUAGGGUAGGUUCCCCCCCAACCCCCCACCCCCGCUUUUGAUUUGCAAGAGCUAUUUUUACAUUGUAGAUAUGUGUCUGUGGUUGAUGGCCGAUUGGUGUCCUGCUUGAGAUCUCAGAGUUAUUCCAGAUGAAGUUACCGAAACUCGGUCAUUGUUCCACUGUCUCCAUACUCACUCUCCUCUUCUCCCCUUGCUUCAACCACACAGCUGGCAGCAUUGGAAGCAGCCCAGAGGACUGGAUACCCUGACAUAAUGGAGUCUCCAGGGAACCCAGGAAUCCUAUAAAAGGACCUAGCCCUGCUUUGGAUGACAAAUGCAUUGGUCUCACACAAAUUGAAUGUAUAGGCUUUUCUUGAAGGAUCCUGGCUUUAGUAUCACGCAAGGGAACAUCUCAGCACCGCGCCAGGAAGGUGACUUGCUGACUGGAUGGAUGUUACAUCCAGAUCUCCGAACCAACAGUGGUCAAGGGGUGACCUUUGCCUCGCCUUUGCUGUCACUACCUGACUUGGAUAACCUCCAAAGGCAGGUUGCCAUGGCAAUCGCAUUCAGCCCAACCAAAUCUGGCUUCUGUAUCUUAUUAAAUGUUCCCUAAAAAGGAAAUCACACCGUUCAUACGGAGCAGUAAUGUUUAGCGGCCCAUCUUCCUCCUGUCUCCCAGCCAAGCUCGGGCCAGUCUGUCCACUGUAGGGAGUUGACUGGUCGCCCUGCUGACUUCCCUUCUUCCUAAUCUCGGUUGUCAUGGAGCCCAGCUCAUGGGACAGUGAUGCCCACAUUCAGUCUUCCCUCUUCAGUUAAACCUCUUUGAAAAUGUCACCUCAGACAUGUCUGCAAGAGUGGGUCAAACCUAGGAAAUUAAGAUUGAAACAGAAAAAAUGCCCUAUCAGUGACAGAAGCCACACUCUGACUCCCCAGGUUGACAGAGGGACCCCAAGAACCCUGGAGUGCCUGUCCUGAGUAUUUGAUAGAAGAAGGCACCAACAGCAAUGAUUCUGGGUUUCCCAGGAGGUAAAGACAGAAGUGGCUAAGCGUUCAGAGAGAGCAGCCCCGCUGUGCGAUAUGUGUGUGUGCUUGUGUGUGUGUGCGCGCGCUUGUGUGUGUGUGCAUGCAUGUACAUAUACUUGUACAUUCUCAUUGUCCAUUCGGCUCCGGGUAGGGCCCCAUUUAUCUCCACCAUGACUACAGCUUUUUUGUAUACAACUGGUCUAAGCUCGAACCAUCUUUCUGAACCUGCAGAGAAGUGAGUUCAUCACUGGGGCUGCUAGGACCUCCAAUAGUGUGCCAUCAGGUUUUAAAAUGUGAACAGUUUCAAUCCUUGAUAACUUCUGUAUGCCUGAGACCACCCCGUCCUCUAGACACAAAGAAUGGCAUCAAACCGCAGCUCCUGGUAAAGCCUGCCUGGCUCUGACCACAUUAUCAGGAAGGCCAGGAAUCCCAGGCAGAAAACAUUUUAGGAAAGAUUUGUUUUUAUUUGUAUGUGUGUUGUAUGUGUGUGAGGGGGCAUGUGUGCACUUGCCCGAGUUGACAGUUGGCUUCAAGGAAAAGAUGACAUCCCCACUACUGUAUACUGUCAUCAUGCAGUCCCCAGGACUGGGCCACAUCCCCGGGGAAGUGAAGGAAUCCUACACUGGCUCAGUUGGACUUUUUCCUGACCCUGUGAAAUGACGGCUUCACAAUGAAACAAACUUGACUUCUGAUGCAACGAAGCCAUCUUUGUUACUGGCCUGCAACACUGAGGAAUAUGAUUCCUGCCUCUUGUUCACAUUACAGGAAAGGCCUUUUUCUUCAGGAGGCAGAGCUCUGGGCUUGCUUGCAAACUGGCCAUUGGAAAAGUGGGGAGAAGCUGGUCUUAGCUAGGGAUUUAGGGGUGUGGGCUUGCAUGGGGGCAAGGUCAGAGUGUGACCAGAAGGAACAUGAUGCGUCAGAGGAUUCUGCUAGGCCUCUCAUCUCUGGAAGGGAGUAAGCAGACAGCGGUCAGAGUCUCAGCAUAGGGUAAAUUGCCAUGGACGUGGGCUUUCUGAAGCAAAUUUUCUUUUAAAAGAAAGAGAUGGCUCUGCGCGUGGGCAGCCUGCUGCGCGUGCCCUCUCGCUGGGAUCAGCCUGGUGCUGUGUCUUCUACUUCAUAUUUCUUCUUUAUUUUUCCAUCUGUGCCUAAGAGACUCGCCCACACUGGCGCUUGCUGGGUCAGGCACUGACAAAUUACUCCUCAAAUGGAGAACUGUAAUACACAUGGUCUGAUAUAGGGGAAC